GAAUGUCUAAGUCAUUUGAUUCUAGGAGAUUCUGAAAUGCUUUUCCUUGUUGAGACCUGGGUCCCUCUCGGCCUCGGUCCUAGCCCCUGGCCUCUGCCUGGCUCACUGUUCUCUCUUGACCUGCAGCCCAGCACGGCUCCGCCCAAGCCCAAGCCACCCCCACUGACCAAGGAGACGGUGGUGUUCUGGGACAUGCGACUGUGGCACGUGGUUGGCAUCUUCUCGCUCUUCGUGUUGUCCAUCAUUAUCACUCUUUGCUGUGUCUUCAACUGCCGUGUGCCACGGACCCGGAAGGAGAUUGAAGCCCGGUACCUGCAGCGAAAGGCAGCCAAGAUGUACACAGACAAACUGGAGACUGUGCCACCCCUCAACGAGCUCACGGAAGUCCCCGGAGAGGAUAAGAAGAAGAAGAAGAAAGACAGUGUGGAUACAGUGGCCAUCAAGGUAGAGGAGGAUGAGAAGAAUGAGGCCAAGAAAAAGAAAGGAGAGAAAUGAGAGAUUCCCCAUUUCUGGAAGCUCUGGAAGCUGGCCGGCCCUGGGGCUCAUAGUCCUGGCCAGGGUCCAGACAUCUUAGACUCUAAGCUCAUACAUGGACCAGAGGUGGCAGAACAUCCUCUCCCUGCUCAGAGGGGGUUGCUGAGGCCCAGGACAGGGGACCUAUCCGGGCAGAGACAAGACUACAUCAGCAACCCGAGAGGAGUGGUGCAGCCCCCUUUUGCCUCCAGUGCUCAGGCCAGGGCCUGGCUUCAAAGAGUGUCAAGCUGUUGGUUGAAUGAAGGAAGGAAGGAAUAAGUGAAGCAAAGGGUGUGGAACAAAAGAAUAUGGACCUUCUUUCCGUGGAUAGAAGGAGGCCUAGACAGUGGGUUGCAAGCCUCCGCUUCUGAUCUGUGGAACGACUGCACAGGACUGGGGGGCCAGGAGAGGGGAGCAAGUUUCCGGCUCCCAGCAAGGAAUGUGCAGGGCUCAGCCCCCAACUGCUUGGAGCUGGGGUGAGGGGGGCUGGGACUAUGGGGUUCUGCAGAGGACUGAUAGGCCAGCCGGCAGGAUGACUGGGGCCCCAGUGGCUCCAAAUGUCUUUCCAGCCACCCAUCUAGGCCCCGACUCACUGGGUCAUGCAGUGGGCCACGGUCAGCACCCAGUGGGAGGCAAUGAGGGUGCCUGCACAGACGUGUAUGCCAUUGGCCCGCACACUGACCAUCCAUGGCCACCGCCGAGCCAUGGCCUCCGGAUCCCUGAGGGUGGGGUCCAACUCAUAGGAGAAGCCACAGGCUGAGGAGGAAAGCAAAAGGAGUCUGAUGAGGAAUGGGCCUUUCCAGCCACACUCCAUAGCACCUCUCCCUCCUCCCCUCCCCCUCAGCCCAAUCUCCCACCUAGCUAGCCACUGGCCCGCACCCAUCCAGUGAUUCUCCCUCACCACUGGUCAUCACAUAAUGAUGCUGUCCAUGUGAGGAUGGGGGUCUCCAGCCUCGGAAGGGCCUCAGCACUCCCCAGGUAUCCUUCUCUCCCUGAUCCCACAGACCAGGCCUCAGGGCCUUCCCAGUAGACCAGCCUGGUGUGCCACUGGCCCCUGUGUCCUGGCUGAGCAGAUCUCAACUUUGGCCAGGCCCCUCACAAACUCAUCUGUGUUUCCAUCUGGUUCCCCUACUUCAGCCAACGCAGAUCCCUCCCCCUCUAAGAUCCUCCUCCUCAGUGAAAGGAAAGGCAGAUGACCUAAGAGGGAAAACUGGGCAAUGUGCACAAACACACACCUCUAAGGAUGAAACCCUAGCAGCAAAUGAACACAGAAAAUGCUCAGCCCCGUUAGUCCUCGGGGAAGUACGGACUCAAAUCACAGUGAGGUUCUGCUCACCGCCACCUGCCAGGUGAAAUUAAAUGUCCCUGAUACCAAGUGUUGGUGAGGAUCACGGCCCCAGACUGCUCACUCACUGCUGGUGGGAGUGUCAAUGGGUGCAGCCACUUUGGAAAAGCUUUUAUGGAAACGUUAUUUAAACUGAAGAUGCACAUAUACAACGUCACAGCAGCCCCACUCCUAGGUGUUGCAAAUGGAUUAGCGGAUUGUGAGAUCAGUAGCACCAGGGGCACCACGACUAGCAGCUGUAAAGGCUAACACGGGAGAGGGAACAGCAGCACACACAGCAGAGUGAUGCUGGGUUGUGUGUGAGAGACUUUCUGGGGCAGUUAAAUUGUGUGCACUUAGUUCCAGGAUGAGAAAUAUUUAUGUGGACCUUACUUAAACAUGCGUUAAAGCCACUGCUGGAGAGAACAUCUUGUGGGUGUGCCCCCGAGACACCCAAAGGGAAGGCUCCCUGAAAGCUAUGCUGGAGAUCCCCAAAGGCCUUGGCUGGGAGCCUGGGUCAGGGCCUGGCGCGUGCUGAGAGGCGCCGGCCCCACAGGCCAUUCAGGGAGGCAGGACCAUGCGGCCCACCCCAGGCUCCUUCCACCUUCCUUGCCUCCUAACUCACCAGGAUGAGAGGCCUGGCCCACAAAGGUACUCUUAAACACUGGUAAAAGGAAGGUCUCCUCUCACUCUCCCUGCCCCCUCUUCCUCCGUCCCUUAAGAGCCUCAGGACUGCUUGGGCACCUUCCUCCCGCGUGGAGGGCACAGUACUCACCAGGAAGUAAGUCGUCGUCAGCAGCUUUAGAAGCACUGU